rnacentral:sRNA from 1 species
GCCAGGCACAGUGGCGUGCGCCUGUAGUCUUAGCUACUCGAGAGGCUGAGGCUGGAGGACAUUUGAGACCAGGAGUUCUGGGCUAUAGUGCAUUAUGUC